GCUGGGUGCAGUGGGGUAUGCUUGUAAUCCCAGUGGCUCAGGAGGCUGAGGCAGGAGGAUCACAAGUUUAAAGCUAGCCUCAACAACUCAGUAAGGCCCUAGGUAACUUAGUGUGAACCUGUCUCAA
rnacentral:sRNA from 1 species